UUCCCUCCUGGGCCUGAGAUCGUACCUGCUCCCUAUGUCCUCACAGCUUCGUCCCUCUGCCCCCAGGACCCUGCUGCCUCCUCCUCUUCCUGGCUGCAGGGAGUGCUCGUGUCUGAAGAACGCCAGGCAGGUGUCCCCAGACGGUGGCUGCAGGGGCUCCGAGGCCACUUUCACUUUCUCCCUCCUCCACGUCUGCAUUGUUUGGGUUUGCAUCCGUCUGUGUCGCUUUUGCACCAGAAGAAAGCCUGCAGCCAAAGAGUGUAAAGAAGCUCCAAGGAGGCCCGGGUGCCCUGGAGAGACCCUGCGUCCUCACGACACGGCGUUCCUGUGCUGCAGCGGAGGUUUCCUAGAUGAAGGGGUCCCUGGCGGGAGACAGGGCCCUGCACACGGGUCCUCUGCCAUGCUGCUCACCAUGCCUGUGCGUUCUCUCACCAUGAAGUCACCUAGGCCGGGCAUGGUGGCUCAUGCCUGUCAUCCUAGCACUUUGGGAGGCGGAGGUGGGCGGAUCACCUGAGAUCCAGAGUUUGAGACCAUCCUGACUAACAUGGUGAAACCCUGUCUCUAUGAAAAAUACAAAAAUUAACUGGG